rnacentral:rRNA from 1 species
GAAUUCGAUUGAGUUUGAUCAUGGCUCAGGACGAACGCUGGCGGCGUGCUUAACACAUGCAAGUCGAGCGGUAAGGCUCCUUCGGGAGUACACGAGCGGCGAACGGGUGAGUAACACGUGAGCAAUCUGCCCUUCACACUGGGAUACCCCCCGGAAACGGGUGCUAAUACCGGAUACAACCACUUCAGGCAUCUGACGGUGGUGGAAAGUUCUGGCGGUGAAGGAUGAGCUCGCGGCCUAUCAGCUUGUUGGUGAGGUAAUGGCCCACCAAGGCUUCGACGGGUAGCCGGCCUGAGAGGGUGACCGGCCACACUGGGACUGAGACACGGCCCAGACUCCUACGGGAGGCAGCAGUGGGGAAUAUUGGACAAUGGGCGAAAGCCUGAUCCAGCAACGCCGCGUGAGGGAUGACGGCCUUCGGGUUGUAAACCUCUUUCAGCAGGGACGAAGCGAAAGUGACGGUACCUGCAGAAGAAGCACCGGCCAACUACGUGCCAGCAGCCGCGGUAAUACGUAGGGUGCGAGCGUUGUCCGGAAUUAUUGGGCGUAAAGGGCUCGUAGGCGGUUUGUCGCGUCGGGGAGUGAAAACUCAGGGCUCAACCCUGAGCCUGCUUCCGAUACGGGCAGACUAGAGGUAUGCAGGGGAGAACGGAAUUCCUGGUGUAGCGGUGAAAUGCGCAGAUAUCAGGAGGAACACCGGUGGCGAAGGC